rfam:Pelobacter sp. SFB93, complete genome.
CGCGGGGUGGAGCAGUUCGGUAGCUCGUCGGGCUCAUAACCCGAAGGUCGCAGGUUCAAAUCCUGCCCCCGCUA